CCUACGGGGGGCUGCAGUGGGGAAUAUUGGACAAUGGGGGGAACCCUGAUCCAGCCAUGCCGCGUGUGUGAAGAAGGCCCUCGGGUUGUAAAGCACUUUCAGUGAGGAAGAACGCCUGGUGGUUAAUACCCAUCAGGAAAGACAUCACUCACAGAAGAAGCACCGGCUAACUCCGUGCCAGCAGCCGCGGUAAUACGGAGGGUGCGAGCGUUAAUCGGAAUUACUGGGCGUAAAGCGCGCGUAGGUGGCUUGAUAAGCCGGUUGUGAAAGCCCCGGGCUCAACCUGGGAACGGCAUCCGGAACUGUCAAGCUAGAGUGCAGGAGAGGAAGGUAGAAUUCCCGGUGUAGCGGUGAAAUGCGUAGAGAUCGGGAGGAAUACCAGUGGCGAAGGCGGCCUUCUGGACUGACACUGACACUGAGGUGCGAAAGUGUGGGUAGCAAACAGGAUUAGAUACCCCGGUAGUC
rnacentral:rRNA from 1 species